ensembl:lncRNA
AUCUCUAUCUGGAGGUCAUCCCUCUUGGAACACUUCAGUGAGCCCAUGACACAGGUGAAAACCCUACUCUUUUAUCCUUCGAUGUCCUAAAUUGUCAUCUUUUAUCUUGACGACUAAUUUUCAGGGUGUUUGCAUGGCAUUCUACCUAACAAAUAAUGAUGCAGCAAAGAAAUUCUUUUGGAUGCAGAAGACAUGGCACAGUCGAGACAAACUCUGCUAGGUUAUUGCUGCUGUUCUUCUGAACUGCUGCUUGUUAUGAGAAUACAUGAAAGUAAAACUUCUUCAGUCUGAUGUGAACAUUAAAUGUAGUUGGUAGUGGAGAAUUGAAUAGUGUGCAAGAAUGAAAACUGAAAAGAAAUCUCCAAGGAAAGUGAUUCCUAAAACAAACGCAGAACAUGGAGUGGUGAACAAGUGACAUUUUGGACAACGAGAUGACACUCCUUAAUUUGUGCUUUGGUCCAAAUUCACUAGCAUAAUUGAAAGAAAAUUCAUAAAAAACGUUAUUGGAAGAUUAACACCACCUGUAAACAACACUAUUUUAGGAGAUAUCUUGCUGCCUUCUCUUCAGAGCUCUUAAAUCAAACUCUUUUGCUAUUUCAUAGACUCUAAUGAAUUGAAGGUAUAUGUUAAGCUUUGUAGGAUGCUGUCAGUUCUGGCACUGUUGGCUCCUGUGCUUUUGAGUAGUUGCUGGUUGAAAUUCAUUCUUGUUUUUCUUCUCCUGAAACAGUUCAGGACAGGAUGAUGCUGAGAUCUAAGCACAGUCUGUUCUAGAUCUCCUAGUGUGCUGGAAAUGGAGAGGCCGCAUGUUAUUCAUUUAUUGUUUUCUUCCAUUGAAACACUAUUAUUUCACAAUUAGAGAGAAAAUAUGUAGGUGUUUCAGCUUGGAGAAGUUACUGUUAGUGGAAGGAGGCUAUAUGAUCGGCAGUAUACAAUAAAGAUUCUGAAUAUUUAAUAACUUUACU